rnacentral:rRNA from 2 species
UUGAUCUCAAAUCAGGUAGGACUACCCGCUGAACUUAAGCAUA